GGUAGGAUUACCCGCUGAACUUAA
rnacentral:rRNA from 1 species